AAUCAACGCUGGCGGCGUGCCUCAGACAUGCAAGUCGAACGCGAAAGGUUCCUUCGGGAACCGAGUAGAGUGGCGCACGGGUGAGUAACACGUAGGUAAUUUGCCUUUGGGUGGGGAAUAACAGCCGGAAACGGCUGCUAAUACCGCAUAAUGCAGCGGCUCGACAUCGAGACAGUUGUUAAAGCGGGGGAUCGCAAGACCUCGCGCCUAAAGAGAAGCCUGCGGCAGAUUAGCUAGUUGGUAGGGUAAUGGCCUACCAAGGCGACGAUCUGUAACCGGCCUGAGAGGGCGGUCGGUCACACUGACACUGACAUACGGGUCAGACUCCUACGGGAGGCAGCAGUCGGGAAUUUUGGGCAAUGGGCGAAAGCCUGACCCAGCAACGCCGCGUGAAGGAUGAAAUCCCUCGGGAUGUAAACUUCGCAAGAAUAGGAAGAAUAAAUAGACGGUACUAUUUUAAGGUCCGGCUAACUACGUGCCAGCCGCCGCCGUGAU
rnacentral:rRNA from 1 species